CCUACGGGUGGCAGCAGUCGAGAAUCAUUCACAAUGGGGGAAACCCUGAUGGUGCGACGCCGCGUGGGGGAAUGAAGGUCUUCGGAUUGUAAACCCCUGUCAUGUGGGAGCAAAUUAAAAAGAUAGUACCACAAGAGGAAGAAACGGCUAACUCUGUGCCAGCAGCCGCGGUAAUACAGAGGUCUCAAGCGUUGUUCGGAAUCACUGGGCGUAAAGCGUGCGUAGGCUGUUUCGUAAGUCGUGUGUGAAAGGCGCGGGCUCAACCCGCGGACGGCACAUGAUACUGCGAGACUAGAGUAAGGGAGGGGGAACCGGAAUUCUCGGUGUAGCAGUGAAAUGCGUAGAUAUCGAGAGGAACACUCGUGGCGAAGGCGGGUUCCUGGACAUUAACUGACGCUGAGGCACGAAGGCCAGGGGAGCGAAAGGGAUUAGAUACCCCAGUAGUC
rnacentral:rRNA from 1 species